GACACUUACAACAUGGAAAUCUCAAUGGGCAAUUCCCCACUUCUGCAGAAAAGAUUGGCAGAAGGCCCGCAGCCUCAGCAGCAGCAAGAGGACCAGGAAUCAAAUGCGAGUGGAGGUCAAUUAUGUCUAUAAAAAGGAUUUCUUGGCGAAUUCUUCGUCGUCGUGCGGAUUACAUGGAAAAUGUUACGGCACGACGUACGUGCUUCGCAGGUGCAUACUUCACCGACACCGUCUUCCCUCCUGCACGAUGCUUUCUUUAUCUCAUCGGCUUUGAUCGGCAGGGACAGGUGAUCGACGGCAGGAUCUAUGUACCCCACGCUUUGCCACAAACCGAGUCGUAUCCGAUAUCUCCCGCCAGACGGAGUCCUAUUAAAGCAUUGCCGAGGCGGAUUCGAGACAGACCAAGGCCUAGAAGCACACCCUUGCCAUCGUUAUCCUUCAACCCGGCCAUCGACAACAAGGACUUUGACGAUGGGAAUACGCGGGCUACUACACUCCAGAUAUAUUUCGUUCUAUGUAGUUAGGUUUAAGGAUAUACGCGUCCAUAUAUUUAAAUAGUAAA
rnacentral:misc_RNA from 1 species